AGGAGACACGGGAUUACCUCAGUAACGGCGAGUGAAGCGGUAACAGCUCAAAUUUGAAAUCUGGGUCUUUCAGGCUCCGAGUUGUAAUUUGUAGAAGAUGCUUUGGGUGCGGCCCCGGUCUAAGUUCCUUGGAACAGGACGUCAUAGAGGGUGAGAAUCCCGUAUGUGAUCGGUGGCUUGCGCCCGUGUAAAGCUCUUUCGACGAGUCGGGUUGUUUGGGAAUGCAGCUCUAAAUGGGUGGUAAAUUUCAUCUAAAGCUAAAUAUUGGCCAGAGACCGAUAGCGCACAAGUAGAGUGAUCGAAAGAUGAAAAGCACUUUGGAAAGAGAGUUAAACAGUACGUGAAAUUGUUGAAAGGGAAGCGCUUGCAACCAGACUUGCGCGGGGUUGAUCAUCCGGGGUUCUCCCCGGUGCACUCGGCCUCGCUCAGGCCAGCAUCGGUUUCGGUGGUUGGAUAAAGGCCUUGGGAAUGUGACUCCUUUCGGGGAGUGUUAUAGCCCUCGGUGCAAUGCAGCCUACCGGGACCGAGGACCGCGCUUCGGCUAGGAUGCUGGCGUAAUGGUUGUAAGCGACCCGUCUUGAAACACGGACCAAGGAGUCUAACAUCUAUGCGAGUGUUUGGGUGUCAAACCCAUACGCGUAAUGAAAGUGAACGGAGGUGAGAACCCUUAAGGGUGCAUCAUCGACCGAUCCUGAUGUCUUCGGAUGGAUUUGAGUAAGAGCAUAGCUGUUGGGACCCGAAAGAUGGUGAACUAUGCCUGAAUAGGGUGAAGCCAGAGGAAACUCUGGUGGAGGCUCGCAGCGGUUCUGACGUGCAAAUCGAUCGUCAAAUUUGGGUAUAGGGGCGAAAGACUAAUCGACCAUCAGG
rnacentral:rRNA from 1 species